rnacentral:rRNA from 1 species
UACGGACAUAUCACGUUGAAACACCAGUUCCCGUACAAUCAUCGAAGUUAAGCAACGUCAAGCCUGGCCAGUAUCUAGAUGGGUGACCGCUUGGGAAUUUAUGUGAGUUGC